CGUGCCUAAUACAUGCAAGUAGAACGCUGAAGAGAGGAGCUUGCUCUUCUUGGAUGAGUUGCGAACGGGUGAGUAACGCGUAGGUAACCUGCCUGGUAGUGGGGGAUAACUAUUGGAAACGAUAGCUAAUACCGCAUAAUAGUAGAUGUUGCAUGACAUUUGCUUAAAAGGUGCAAUUGCAUCACUACCAGAUGGACCUGCGUUGUAUUAGCUAGUUGGUGAGGUAACGGCUCACCAAGACGUCGAUCAGUAACUGGUGUGAGAGCACGACCAGUCACACGGGCACUGAGACACGGGCCCGACUCCUACGGGAGGCAGCAGUAAGGAAUAUUGGUCAAUGGACGAAAGUCUGAACCAGCCAUGCCGCGUGCAGGAAGAAGGUCCUCUGGAUUGUAAACUGCUUUUAUUUGGGACGAAAUGAUCUUUUUUAAGAUAGCUGACGGUACCAAAGGAAUAAGCACCGGCUAACUCCGUGCCAGCAGCCGCGGUAAUACGGAGGGUGCGAGCGUUAUCCGGAUUUACUGGGUUUAAAGGGUGCGCAGGCGGGUAUAAAAGUCAGUGGUGAAAGCCCUCAGCUUAACUGAGGAACUGCCGUUGAUACUAUAUAUCUUGAAUUUUUAGGAGGUAAACAGAAUAAGUCAUGUAGCGGUGAAAUGCUCAGAUAUGACUUAGAAUACCAAAAGCGAAGGCAGUUUACUACAUAAAUAUUGACGCUGAGGCACGAAAGUGUGGGUAGCAAACAGGAUUAGAUACCCUGGUAGUCCACGCCGUAAACGAUGGAUACUAGCUGUUCGGAGCAAUCUGAGUGGCUAAGCGAAAGUGAUAAGUAUCCCACCUGGGGAGUACGUUCGCAAGAAUGAAACUCAAAGGAAUUGACGGG
rnacentral:rRNA from 1 species